rnacentral:snoRNA from 1 species
UGAUGACACAUCUCCGGAAUCGCUGUACUUUCUUGAUGAAACGUUUGAACCCUUUUUCUGAUGACUGCUGUGAUC